rnacentral:rRNA from 1 species
UACAGGGGGGGCAAGCGUUGUUCGGAAUUACUGGGCGUAAAGGGUCUGUAGGUGGCCAACUAAGUCAAACGUGAAAUCCCUCAGCUUAACUGGGGAACUGCGUCUGAUACUGGAUGGCUCGAGUGUGGGAGAGGAAUGCGGAAUUCCAGGUGUGGCGGUGAAAUGCGUAGAUAUCUGGAGGAACACCGGUGGCGAAGGCGGCAUUCUGGACCACAACUGACACUGAGAGACGAAAGCCAGGGGAGCAAACGGG